AAUGUCGUAACAAGGUUUCCGUAGGUGAACCUGCGGAAGGAUCAUUAAAGAGUAAGGGUUCUCUGGCCCGAACCUCCAACCCUCUGUUGUUAAAAGCUACUUCGUUGCUUUGGCGGGACCGCGAAGGUCCUCCCGGAGCGCGCCAGUCUCCGGACAGGCGAGCGCCCGCCAGAGUCUAACCAAAGCUCUUGUUUUAAAUCCAGUCGUCUGAGUAAAAAUUUUUCAAUAAACUUAAAAG
rnacentral:misc_RNA from 1 species